rnacentral:sRNA from 1 species
UUUGUUCGACUCAAGUGGACAGUUAUAGUCUGUAAAUAAUGCAUACAGGACAAUAUAUGGAUCUAUAGAUGUAUCUACAAGAUCAUGCUUGCCAGGGCUGGUGAUGGUGUUUGAAAGACUAUCAUAGGCAAGUAAAGAGAUGUUCCAGUAGGGAGAACCACUUUGACGUUGAACACCACCACAGCACCUAAGGUCCAGGACUACAGCCCUGUAAGGAGUCAAUGGUGUAAGGGAGAAAAUGAAGCUUACCUCAUCACAUCUGCAAGGAAUUCAGAUAGUUUUAAAUAAUCAGUGAUCAAUUUGAUAUAAGUGAUUGAGACAGGAACAUCAGUGAUUGAAAGUUUAGUGAUUGAGAUGUGUUAUUCAGUUUCAGUUUUGAAUAAGUAAUCAUCAAAGGUGUGGCUACCGUAUUUUGAAUAUAAAGAAACGUAUUAUUUACUGGUACAACGUCUGUCUGUCAAAAGUUUUUUUUAAAUAUUUAUAUUAAUUCUUUCAUAACUUUGUUAAGGUAGGGUUAUUAAUUACAGCUAAUUGAAUGAGUAUCAUGUGAGCGAGUAUGGAUGUGAAAGUGAUAUUGUAAAUAUAUUUCAUUUGUUCUUUUUGUAAAUAAAGCUGUCUUAACUGUC